UGGGGAAUUGUUCGCAAUGGGCGCAAGCCUGACGACGCAACGCCGCGUGGAGGAUGACGGCUUUCGGGUCGUAAACUCCUGUCGUGCGGGACGAAUGGCCUUGUGGUGAAUAACCAUGGGGUUUGACGGUACCGCGAAAGGAAGCCCCGGCUAACUCCGUGCCAGCAGCCGCGGUAAUACGGGGGGGGCAAGCGUUGUUCGGAAUUACUGGGCGUAAAGGGCUCGUAGGCGGCUCGUUAAGUCAGACGUGAAAGCCCUCGGCUUAACCGGGGAACGGCGUCUGAGACUGGCAAGCUUGAAUCCGGGAGAGGGAUGCGGAAUUCCAGGUGUAGCGGUGAAAUGCGUAGAUAUCUGGAGGAACACCGGUGGCGAAGGCGGCAUCCUGGACCGGUAUUGACGCUGAGGAGCGAAAGCCAGGGGAGCAAACGG
rnacentral:rRNA from 1 species